AGGGUUGUAGCUCAGUGGUACAGUGCUUGCCUAGUAUGUGUGAGACACUAGGUUGGAUCCCCAGCUCUA
rnacentral:tRNA from 1 species